UUGGGGAAAGUGUGGAGAAUAGAUCACAUCAAACUGUAACACUUCUCAAUACCCCUGAAUCACAGCCUCCAGGGAAGUUUUUUCCUCUGUUACUGGACCUGAAGAUAAAGGGGAACUGCCAAGACUCUCUACGAGAUCAGGAAUGACCUUGCAUUGCAAAGGUAUCUGCCGGAUUUGGGCUGCUGCUGCAUCUAUGAAGAUGUCAGCUGCAUAUUCAGCAUGAUGCACUACUAUGGCCUGCAGCUUGAGGGAAGUUGGAGAGGUAGAGGAAAUAAGCCUUGUUAAAAGCCACAAACCUGUGACCCAAGAAAUCCAGAGAAGUGAAGACAAGAUCUGCACUGACACAGUUUACGGGGGUGUAUCUGCAAUGCAUAGAAUUCCUCUUCUGGGUCUACCUUCUCCACCACAUCACAUCUAAGGCCUGGUCUACACUACGACUUUAAUUCGGAUUUAUCAGCUUUAAUUCGAAUUUACCCUGCAACCGUCC